rnacentral:rRNA from 1 species
CAGUAGCCGCGGUAAAACGUAGGUGGCAAGCGUUGUCCGGAAUUAUUGGGCGUAAGGGGCUCGCAGGCGGUUUCUUAAGUCUGAUGUGAAAGCCCCCGGCUCAACCGGGGAGGGUCAUUGGAAACUGGGAAACUUGAGUGCAGAAGAGGAGAGUGGAAUUCCACGUGUAGCGGUGAAAUGCGUAGAGAUGUGGAGGAACACCAGUGGCGAAGGCGACUCUCUGGUCUGUAACUGACGCUGAGGAGCGAAAGCGUGGGGAGCGAGCAGGAUUAGAUACCCCAGUAGUCCCUGUCUCUUAUAC